rnacentral:rRNA from 1 species
UACGUAGGGUGCGAGCGUUGUCCGGAAUUAUUGGGCGUAAAGAGCUCGUAGGCGGCUUGUUGCGUCGUCCGUGAAAACCCGCAGCUCAACUGCGGGCUUGCGGACGAUACGGGCAGGCUGGAGUUCGGUAGGGGAGAUCGGAAUUCCUGGUGUAGCGGUGAAAUGCGCAGAUAUCAGGAGGAACACCGGUGGCGAAGGCGGAUCUCUGGGCCUGUCCUGACGCUGAGGCGCGAAAGCUAGGGGAGCGAACAGG